GCCUGGUGCAGUGGUGUGCGCCUGUAGUCUCAGCUACUCAGGAGGCUGAGACAGGAGGAUCACUUGAUCCCAGGAGUCCUGGGCUGUACUGUGCUAUACCGAUCAGGUGUCCACACUAAGUUCAGCAUCAAUAUGGUGACCUCUCAAGAGUGGGGGACCGCCAGGUUGCCUAAGGAGGGGUAAACCGGCCUAGGUCAGAAAUGGAGCAGGUCAAAACUCCUGUGCUGAUCAGUAGGAGUAGGGCCGCACCUAUGAAUAGUCACUGCACUCCUGGCCUGGGCAACAUAGCAAGAUCUCGUCUCUA
rnacentral:SRP_RNA from 1 species